rnacentral:misc_RNA from 1 species
CAAAAGAUACACGUCAAGUGAAAUAUGGCGUCUUGUUUCUGUUUCAUUCUUAUCUCCUUUGACAGAAGUUGUAGGAAAUGUUAAUGUUUAGUUCUGUACCUCUGUCGUUGAAGAGUGGAAAACUAGUCUGAUGGAAGGAUAUGAAAGAAGCCCAACUUCUCAGCAACAGAAAGAAGCAAACGGUCAUUUUUUUCAUCUUUCCGUGUAACAAAGCCUUAGGUCAAAGGUUAUUCACUCUUCUGCCCUACCUUGGAGACCAGCCGACUCACACAGCCGACGUUCUCAUCUGUUUUUAAUCAGAUAAGUCACCCCUUGGGGUGAGCACGUCACAACUAUCGAUGGAUCCUGAUGGACGGAAUGAAAAUAUAAAUGAGGAUGAAAGACGAAUAAGAGCAACUGCUGAGGCACUGCUAACCAGAUCGCUUCAGUCCCAGAGAAGUUCUUUCACUCAGCAUAGCAUAAACCGAAUCUCUGAUAUUGUGCUGAGUGAAGAUCUAAUAGCUGGUGCCAGACAUCAAGGCAGAAUGUCUAAUGUUCGAAGGUUCUUCUGCUUGUUCAUUACAUUUGACCUCCUGUUCACUUGCCUCAUGUGGCUAAUUUGCAUAAUGUUGGCUGGAGAUAAUGUGGAAACUGCAUUUGUGAAACAAGUUGUUCACUAUAAUAUAAAAACUUCACUUUUUGAUAUUGUGAUGGCUGCGGUCUGCAGAUUUACAGUCUUGCUACUAUUCUAUGCACUACUGUACAUAAACCAUUGGAUAAUCAUAGCUUUGUCUACCGCAGCAACUUGUGCCUUCCUCAUUGCCAAAGUCUUCUUGUUUGAUUGGCCAAGUAGUGUCCAGCCUGUCUUUGAGGUUCUUCUGAUUCUUUCAUCAUUUGUACUGGCAUGGAGUGAAGCCUGGUUUUUCGAUUUCCGGGUAAUCCCACAAGAAAUGCAGGCACGAGAUUGGCUCAUAGGUACUGCCGAAUCGGAGAGAGCACCACUCUUACAGCAAUUCCUUGCUGGCCCGCGUUCCCACUAUACGGAAAGUGUGGCUAAUUUUUAUUCUCCAAUGGAGUCCCCUGAGCACUCAGAUACCGAAGAGAACGAAUGGUAUCAUAAUGGGUCUGGAGGAGUUAGAUCAUCUGCAAAUCUGAUUGUACCUAUUUUACCAAAACUCUCAUCUCAGAAGGUUGAAGAGUACAAAGCGAUUGCAUCAACGACUCUGAAUCGUGCUUGGGAACUCAUCGAUAGUCCCAACUGGACUUUUGAACUAGAGACUGAUAACGGCGACACGGUAUCUUCAAUGCAUCUUCCUAAGCCUGAUGGAAAAAUAAUGAAAAUCACCGGGAUAAUCAAUCUAUCUGCCCAUGAGCUACUUGAUGAACUGUUCCAAAAUAUUGAACAGUCUAUUAAAUGGAACAAACAGCUGGCAGAAUCCAGAAAAAUAUUGGCGAUAGAUGAUCGAAUCGAUAUCGUAUACCAGGCCACAGUACCUGCCGGUGGAGGUAUUGUAGGUGCAAGAGAUUUUAUUAUGUUAAGGUGUUGCAAUGAACGAAAUUCCAGCCUCAUUAGUGCUUGCAUUUCUAUACCGUUUGCAGAUAUUCCACCUCGCAAGAAUUUUGUACGGGGCGAGAAUGGUGUUGGCUGUCUGAUGAUGGAGCCUAUAGAAGGAGAGGAAAAUCAACGGUGCCGACUUACAUGGCUCCUGAACACAAACUUGAAAGCAGGUCGAGGAGCGAAGCGGCCCUUUGGUAUUCGUCGUCUGCGACAAAUCGGUGCGGUAACGUCCACUCUACCUGGAAGAGAACUUGGUGUAGAAGAUUUAAUCAUCAUCGUGUAUGUACAUUGUAACAUUCCCAACGAUUAACUACAACUGCAACGGCAACUGUGACCGCAAGUGGACACUGAAGGUGUGAUUGUUAUAACGAGAACAAAGUCGAAGAAAGCCCAUCGUAAGCGAAGCCUCAGUCGAGAGAUAUGAUGGUUUCUAUGGAAGAGUAGCAAUCGCUUACUGUCCAAAAAGAA